rnacentral:rRNA from 1 species
CGGGAGGCAGCAGUUAGGAAUCUUCCACAAUGCAUGAAAGUGUGAUGGAGCGACGCCGCGUGAUCGAAGAAGCCCUUCGGGGUGUAAAGAUCUUUUUUCAGGGACGAAUCCGUGACGGUACCUGAAGAAUAAGGGGUUGCUAACUCUGUGCCAGCAGCAGCGGUAAUACAGAGACCCCGAGCGUUAUCCGGAUUUAUUGGGCGUAAAGGGUCCGCAGGCGGCCAAAGAAGUCAUCUGUCAAAUCUCAGGGCUCAACCCUGAGACCGCGGAUGAAACUCUUUGGCUUGAGGCUGGGAGAGGCUAGCGGAAUUGCCGGUGUAGUAGUCAAAUGCGUUAAUAUCGGCAGGAACACCAAAUGCGAAGGCAGCUAGCUGGAACAAGCCUGACGCUCAGGGACGAAAGCGUGGCGAGCGAUACGGAUUAGAUACCCGGGUAGUCCACGCCCUAAAC